rnacentral:lncRNA from 1 species
GUUUUAUGCUUGAUAAUGUAUUAAUUUUCUUGUUUUAUGAUUCCAAAAAUCCCUACCCUCAAAUUAAAAUCCGUAUGUUUAAACACUUUUUCUUCAGAUCUGUUGUCUUAUAAUUUCCUUAAUUCCCUAUGAGGUUAUCUUAUCCUCUUCCUGUGUUAUAGUGCUUUUAUAUAAUUUCUAAUUGGUUUCAGGUAGUUUCCUCAUCAUUACUGGCAUUGGCAACACUGCUUGAUGUUUUUGUAUCUGGGCAAUUUGAAAGGUCUGAUUUGGACAACAUGAUAGGUGAAUCAAAGCAUGCUGUGAAAGCCAGGGCUAUGAAUGUGGCUGUUUCUAGUGCAGAGAAGUUGUUCUCCGCUCAUAAAUAUUUUCUAGACUUUCUAAAGUCUCAAAGCCCAGCAAUCCGUUCAGCUACAUAUUCAGUGCUGAGGAGUUAUAUAAAAAACAUACCUGAUGUUGUAAAUAAAGGUGAUAUGAAAAGUCUAGCUGUGACUAUACUUGGUGCUUUCCAGGAAAGGAAUCCAGCAUGCCAUUCAUCAAUGUGGCAAACAGUGCUUAUCUUUAGUAGAACAUAUCCAGACAGUUGGACUACCUUGAAUGUUCAAAAAAUUAUUCUAAGUCGGUUAUGGGAUUUUCUGAAGAAUGGAUGUUUUGGAUCUCAGCAAGUGUCUUACCCAGCUCUAGUUUUAUUUUUAGACACAAUUCCUCCAAAAGCAGUUGUAGGAGAGAAAUUUAUCCUGCAAUUUUUCCAGAAUUUGUGGGCAGGGAGAAAGUUGUCUUACUUUUCUAACGGGGAUCAACUGGCAUUUUUCGUGGGCUUGGAAGAAUGUUUCCUUUGGACUUUAAGAAAUGCUUCUAGGUAUGAGUUCCUUGAGUUAGAUGGCAAUUUGAGUACUUUACACAGACUGACACACACACACACACACAAAAGCAUACAUACAUUUAUUGUGGUUACUGUUUUUGCUUAAAUCUUAUUUUAGUUUUGGUUAUUAUAAUGGCUACUUUUGCUCCUCUUUGGUAUCAGAUAUUGUGAUGGAGUAGAAGCCAUUUACAGCUUCCAGCGUACUCUUGUUGAUACGGUAGUAAUAGGUCUUCUGUGGCAUGAGUACCUUCUGGCAGCCAGCUCUAAAUAUCAGGACACAUCCUUCUCUGAAACUACUAUCUCUUCAUCCAAGUGUAGUACUGAACCUGUUGAUAAGGAGUCAAGGGAAACAUUUAAUGUCAAAUAUCCAGCAGAUUAUGAGGAAAAUCUUGGGAAAUGCAUCAUCAGAAUCCUUUCAGGGAUCCAUUGCCUGAAACAUGAUCUGCUUUUGGUUUUCUGUUCAACAUUUCAAGGGAAUUGUCUGGAUCUAUUUCGGCAAACAGAGCGCUCUUCUCAAAAUGUAGAAUGGGCUGUCAAAUUUUUAAUUUUACUGGACGAACAUGCUGUACAGAAGGGUGAAUCAUGGCCCUUGGUUAAUUUAUUGGGGCCCACGUUGAAAGAGUCUUUCCCAGUCAUUGAAACAUCUGUAAGUUAAGAAUGCAACUUUGAAGCUCUUACGAUGGUUAGUAAAAAUGAUUUAGGCGUUAACAUUUGGCUUACUUUAACAUAUACUUUGCACAAUAGCUAGGAGUUUCAACGUGAGGUUAUUUGGUUAUGUUAA